GAUUAAACUGAAGAGUUUGAUCCUGGCUCAGAUUGAACGCUGGCGGUAUGCUUAACACAUGCAAGUCGAACGGAAACGAUGGUAGCUUGCUACCAGGCGUCGAGUGGCGGACGGGUGCGUAACGCGUAGGAAUUUACCUUAUAGUCGGGGACAACUUGGGGAAACUCAAGCUAAUACCGGAUAAUCCUUACGAGGGAAAGGGGGCCUCUUCUUGAAAGCUCUCGCUAUUAGAUGAGCCUGCGUCAGAUUAGCUAGUUGGUGAGGUAAAAGCUCACCAAGGCGACGAUCUGUAGCUGUUCUGAGAGGAAGAUCAGCCACACUGGGACUGAGACACGGCCCAGACUCCUACGGGAGGCAGCAGUGGGGAAUAUUGGACAAUGGGGGCAACCCUGAUCCAGCAAUACCGCGUGUGUGAAGAAGGCCCGAGGGUUGUAAAGCACUUUCAGUAGGGAGGAUUGGUUUUUUAGUUAAUAACUAAGAAGCUUGACGUUACCUACAGAAGAAGCACCGGCUAACUCAGUGCCAGCAGCCGCGGUAAUACUGAGGG
rnacentral:rRNA from 1 species